AUCACAAGUCCUUACACUCUCAAGCAUCAAGAUCUCCUUUCUUUUGAAAGUCCUUAUUGAUCAUUCUUUAGUUCAUACAUACAAAAAUAUGGGUUUCCGUCUGCCUGCUAUUCUUCGUGCCAAGCAAAUUCUUCAGAGGUCUCCUUCUGCAAACCAAACACACGCUGCAUCAGUAGCCAGCGAUGUGCCAAAGGGCUACCUUGCAGUCUAUGUUGGAGAAAAACAAAGGAAGCGAUUUGUGAUUCCUAUAUCAUACUUGAGCAAAGCUUCAUUUCAAGACUUAUUAAUCCAAGCUGAAGAAGAAUUUGGAUAUGAUCAUCCAAUGGGUGGUCUUACAAUUCCCUGCAGUGAAAACAUCUUCGUUGAUGUCAUUUCUUCCUUAAAUUGUUCAUGAGAUUGAACACUGAACACAAUUUUGUAAAGAAUUAGAGUUACAAGUACAAUGUACACAAAAGCAUAAGCAUUAAGCAAUUAUACUUUUAUUUCUUUAACUGACUAUUAUAGAUUAUGUUCUACAAUUUUCUUCUGCAUGAUUUUCCUGCAUUACAAAUACAUUUUUUUCACCAGAGGCAAGAACCAUUAUGAUUUUCCUGCAUCAUGCCCUGAAAGGGAGAACAAAAUAUGGAAACAUCUAAGGAUCUAUAGCAAUUAUGCAAAUUGUUCAUGCAAAGCAAAAUAUUUCUGAUUCCACUCCCUAUGUUUCGCUGCUUUAACCACUCCUACUUUUGAAACAUGGAAAGUCAUGUAACAC
rnacentral:misc_RNA from 1 species